UGUCUUGAUUUGAUUUCAAAAUAUUUGUUUGCGGAUAUUUAUUUUUGAUUUUUCUCUUCACUUCCGGCCGGAUAUCCCCCAAAUUUAUUGUCAUCCGUUUCUCUCUCUCUCUCGCCUGGAAAAUUGGGUUUCUCGCGUUGGCAGAAAAUGGGAGAGAAGCUCCUGGAAUGGACUGUGUCGUUGAUAGCAGCCUGGGAUAUUAACGACGGCGGAACACAGCAGACACACACACACUCGUAUCCCAGGGCCCGCCGUUCUCUAUUACGUCGACGAAUUGAUCCAGGGGCGUCCCGUGGCCAAUUAACGACUCGUCUAUUUCGUUGCUUACCAACCGGCUUUUUUUUUUCCUUAUUUUUUCUUUUGUUAACGAGGCCGGUGGAUUGUUGUCGUUCAAAUUGGUGCCGCUCUGCGUGGCGUCGAUCCUUCCGUUACAAGCCGGAAGAAAAA